GUUGGUGACUCGACGCUGUGGAACUACCUCUUCCCAUCCCGAACAGAGUCGUAAAACGCAGUAGUGCCGAUGGUACUCCACGCUUUGCGCGUGCGGGAGAGUAGGCAGUCGCCAACU
rnacentral:rRNA from 1 species